rnacentral:rRNA from 1 species
CCUACGGGAGGCAGCAGUGAGGAAUAUUGGUCAAUGGCCGGAAGGCUGAACCAGCCAUGCCGCGUGAAGGUCAGUGCCCUAUGGGCGUUAAACUUCUUUUGUGCGGGAGCAAUAAUGGUCACGUGUGGCCAGACGAGAGUACCGUACGAAUAAGCAUCGGCUCACUCCGUGCCAGCAGCCGCGGUAAUACGGGGGAUGCAAGCGUUAUCCGGAUUUAUUGGGUUUAAAGGGUGCGUAGGCUGGGAGGUAAGUCAGCGGUGAAAUGCCCCCGCUCAACGGGGUGAAGUGCCAUUGAUACUGCCUGGCUGGAAUGCGGAUGCCGUGGGAGGAAUGUGUGGUGUAGCGGUGAAAUGCAUAGAUAUCACACAGAACACCGAUUGCGAAGGCAUCUCACGAAUCCGCGAUUGACGCUGAUGCACGAAAGCGUGGGUAUCAAACAGGAUUAGAUACCCUUGUAGUC